UACGUGGGGGGCAAGCGUUGUUCGGAAUUACUGGGCGUAAAGGGCUCGUAGGUGGCCAACUAAGUCAGCCGUGAAAUCCCUCGGCUUAACCGGGGAACUGCGUCUGAUACUGGAUGGCUUGAGUUCGGGAGAGGGAUGCGGAAUUCCAGGUGUAGCGGUGAAAUGCGUAGAUAUCUGGAGGAACACCGGUGGCGAAGGCGGCAUCCUGGACCGACACUGACACUGAGGAGCGAAAGCCAGGGGAGCAAACGGG
rnacentral:rRNA from 1 species